GACGAACGCUGGCGGCGUGCUUAACACAUGCAAGUCGAACGGAAAGGCCCUGCUUUUGUGGGGUGCUCGAGUGGCGAACGGGUGAGUAACACGUGAGUAACCUGCCCUUGACUUUGGGAUAACUUCAGGAAACUGGGGCUAAUACCGGAUAGGAGCUCCUGCUGCAUGGUGGGGGUUGGAAAGUUUCGGCGGUUGGGGAUGGACUCGCGGCUUAUCAGCUUGUUGGUGGGGUAGUGGCUUACCAAGGCUUUGACGGGUAGCCGGCCUGAGAGGGUGACCGGCGACAUGGGGACUGAGAUACGGCCCAGACUCCUACGGGAGGCAGCAGUGGGGAAUAUUGCACAAUGGGCGGAAGCCUGAUGCAGCAACGCCGCGGGCGGGAUGACGGCCUUCGGGUUGUAAACCGCUUUCGCCUGUGACGAAGCGUGAGUGACGGUAAUGGGUAAAGAAGCACCGGCUAACUACGUG
rnacentral:rRNA from 1 species